UGCAGUCGAGCGAACAGAUAAGGAGCUUGCUCCUUUGACGUUAGCGGCGGACGGGUGAGUAACACGUGGGUAACCUACCUAUAAGACUGGAAUAACUCCGGGAAACCGGGGCUAAUGCCGGAUAACAUUUAGAACCGCAUGGUUCUAAAGUGAAAGAUGGUUUUGCUAUCACUUAUAGAUGGACCCGCGCCGUAUUAGCUAGUUGGUAAGGUAAUGGCUUACCAAGGCAACGAUACGUAGCCGACCUGAGAGGGUGAUCGGCCACACUGGAACUGAGACACGGUCCAGACUCCUACGGGAGGCAGCAGUAGGGAAUCUUCCGCAAUGGGCGAAAGCCUGACGGAGCAACGCCGCGUGAGUGAUGAAGGGUUUCGGCUCGUAAAACUCUGUUAUUAGGGAAGAACAAACGUGUAAGUAACUGUGCACGUCUUGACGGUACCUAAUCAGAAAGCCACGGCUAACUACGUGCCAGCAGCCGCGGUAAUACGUAGGUGGCAAGCGUUAUCCGGAAUUAUUGGGCGUAAAGCGCGCGUAGGCGGUUUCUUAAGUCUGAUGUGAAAGCCCACGGCUCAACCGUGGAGGGUCAUUGGAAACUGGGAGACUUGAGUGCAGAAGAGGAAAGUGGAAUUCCAUGUGUAGCGGUGAAAUGCGCAGAGAUAUGGAGGAACACCAGUGGCGAAGGCGACUUUCUGGUCUGUAACUGACGCUGAUGUGCGAAAGCGUGGGGAUCAAACAGGAUUAGAUACCCUGGUAGUCCACGCCGUAAACGAUGAGUGCUAAGUGUUAGGGGGUUUCCGCCCCUUAGUGCUGCAGCUAACGCAUUAAGCACUCCGCCCGGGGGAGUACGACCGCAAGGUUGAAACUCAAAGGAAUUGACGGGGACCCGCA
rnacentral:rRNA from 1 species